GGACUACCCGGGUAUCUAAUCCCGUUCGCUCCCCUGGCUUUCGCGCCUCAGCGUCAGGUACGGCCCAAGAAGCCGCCUUCGCCACCGGUGUUCCGACUGAUCUCUACGCAUUUCACCGCUACACCAGCCAUUCCACUUCUCUCUACCGCCCUCAAGAAAGCCAGUAUGAGAAGCACUGCAGGAGGUUGAGCCUCCGCCUUUCACUUCUCACUUAACUUCCCGCCUACGCGCGCUUUACGCCCAGUAACUUCGGACAACGCUCGCCCCCUACGUAUUACCGCGGCGGCUGGCAC
rnacentral:rRNA from 1 species